CUUCUUAUACUCAGGUUCACUAGCAAGACAGGUGCGCAAAAGACAAAGAGUCGUUUGACAACAUUGUUGCCAACUGGAAAAAGUCAUGCUACACAUCAGAUCUUAACUCAGAAACUGAGUUAAGAAACUCCAGCACAGAAACUCUGGGAAAGAGAGUCAGGAAAAAGAAAAUAUACUCUUCAUCUGAACAAGAAGAAGAAGAACCACAACCUGCCAAAGUAAAAAAACUUGCAAAUGCACCAAGGCCCCCAGCCCCACUACAAAGACAGAAACAUGGUUCAAAAAAUAACACACCUACCAUGCAACAAGAUGCAUCAAGGUGGCCCAUGUCCAACCAGUGUACAUGGGCAGAUGCUUCUCAUGGGACAGCACAAGGCCAGGGUGUUCUACCUCAUG